rnacentral:rRNA from 1 species
GUGUCAGCAGCCGCGGUAAGACGAACCGUGCGAACGUUGUUCGGAAUCACUGGGCUUAAAGGGCGCGUAGGCGGUCGAUCACGUCCGGGGUGAAAGCUUUCGGCUUAACCGGAAAAGUGCCUUGGAUACGGAUCGGCUGGAGGGAGGUAGGGGCAGGUGGAACUUCCGGUGGAGCGGUGAAAUGCGUUGAUAUCGGAAGGAACGCCGGUGGCGAAAGCGGCCUGCUGGACCUCUUCUGACGCUGAGGCGCGAAAGCUAGGGGAGCAAACGGGAUUAGAUACCCCGGUAGUCCUAGCCCUAAACGAUGGGUACUAGGUAGGAGACUUAACAUGGGUUUCCUGCCGAAGCAAAAGUGUUAAGUACCCCGCCUGGGGAGUAUGGUCGCAAGGCUGAA